rnacentral:rRNA from 1 species
GACGAACGCUGGCGGCGUGCUUAACACAUGCAAGUCGAACGGUGAAGCGCCUUCCUUUUUGGUGGGUGUGGAUGAGUGGCGAACGGGUGAGUAACACGUGAGUAACCUGCCCCCUUCUUCUGGAUAACCGCAUGAAAGUGUGGCUAAUACGGGAUAUUCUGGGUCUGUCGCAUGAUGGGUCUGGGAAAGAUAUUGUUUCGGUGGGGGAUGGGCUCGCGGCCUAUCAGCUUGUUGGUGGGGUGAUGGCCUACCAAGGCGGUGACGGGUAGCCGGCCUGAGAGGGUGGACGGUCACACGGGGACUGAGACACGGUGCAGACUCCUACGGGAGGCAGCAGUGGGGAAUAUUGCACAAUGGGCGCAAGCCUGAUGCAGCGACGCCGCGUGAGGGAUGGAGGCCUUCGGGUUGUGAACCUCUUUCGCCAGUGAAGCAGGCCUGCCUCGUUUGUGGGUGGGUUGACGGUAGCUGGAUAAGAAGCGCCGGCUAACUACGUG